rnacentral:rRNA from 1 species
UACGUAGGGGGCAAGCGUUGUCCGGAUUUAUUGGGCGUAAAGAGCGUGUAGGCGGCUAGGUAGGUCCGUUGUGAAAACUCGAGGCUCAACCUCGAGACGCCGAUGGAAACCAUCUAGCUAGAGUCCGGAAGAGGAGAGUGGAAUUCCUGGUGUAGCGGUGAAAUGCGCAGAUAUCAGGAAGAACACCCGUGGCGAAGGCGGGUCUCUGGGCCGUAACUGACGCUGAGGAGCGAAAGCAUGGGGAGCGAACAGG